AUUGAACGCUGGCGGCAGGCCUAACACAUGCAAGUCGAGCGGAUGAAGGGAGCUUGCUCCUGGAUUCAGCGGCGGACGGGUGAGUAAUGCCUAGGAAUCUGCCUGGUAGUGGGGGAUAACGUCCGGAAACGGGCGCUAAUACCGCAUACGUCCUGAGGGAGAAAGUGGGGGAUCUUCGGACCUCACGCUAUCAGAUGAGCCUAGGUCGGAUUAGCUAGUUGGUGGGGUAAAGGCCUACCAAGGCGACGAUCCGUAACUGGUCUGAGAGGAUGAUCAGUCACACUGGAACUGAGACACGGUCCAGACUACUACGGGAGGCAGCAGUGGGGAAUAUUGGACAAUGGGCGAAAGCCUGAUCCAGCCAUGCAGCGUGUGUGAAGAAGGUCUUCGGAUUGUAAAGCACUUUAAGUUGGGAGGAAGGGCAGUAAGUUAAUACCUUGCUGUUUUGACGUUACCAACAGAAUAAGCACCGGCUAACUUCGUG
rnacentral:rRNA from 1 species